GCUUCCUGUUACAUUGUUAUCCGUUCAAGCUGUUGAAACAACACUCAAAAUUUCAAAGAUUAGAAAACGAAAUACCGUGCAAAUGGCAAAUGCAAAACUUCCGCUAUUGCUAAAAUAAGGUUACCAUUGCCAACUUGAGUUCUAACAAAAGGGGUAAAACAAGUUUGCCAUAAAAGCAAAAGAAUUUAACAUCUCAAGCAACAUAUCGCAUAUGGUGAUAGAUAAAAGUCAUUUGAAGUUGCUUUCUGUCGUAGCUCUUAACAGGAGCAUUUCAAUAACCUAUUAAGCAGGCCCGUGACUAGACACAAAAUGGUAUAGGUUAACGCCCAGCAGGAGCAGCACUAGCCUCUGGCCUGCUCACAAUUGAAAAAAACCUGAUCCUGUUGACAUCACAACUAAUAGUCCCGCUUGUUUGGACACUCUGAUGCUCUGUGGCCAGACCUCCCGCAGGUGAAGCAUGAACCUCCAAAGCUUCUGUCAUAAUAACAUCUCAUGUUAGACUACUUUUUUUUUAUAGGUAACAUCUCAUGUUAGACUAUGAGUUCAAUUAUAUCAUUGCCGGUGGUUAGAUGGCAAUAACCUUAGAUAAUUAACAUCUUCAAGACAUAAUUGAUAUUAGAUAAAAAAUUUAUAUUAUAAAAUUAAAUUUGCAGGUAAAAAGAACUAAAAUCAUGAAUAUGGUUUAAAAGUAAGAAGAAUUUUAUAUUUUUUUAAAUAAAAAAUAUUGAAAUGUAAUAUAAUUUUUAUUUUAAGCAGUGAAAAAUAAUAUAUAUUUCAUUUUAUUUUUUUAUUCAUUUUACAAACUAAACUAAGUAUAACAUUACAUAUCUCAUUAGAUAUGUUACUUUAAGAUAUCAUAUCAAUUAAAUUUAAUAUCCAAUUGCAUAUGAUAUCCUACGAUAUACAUAUUUUAUUCUAUCCUAUUACGCCUAUCAAAUGUAACCUUAAUGCAUAAAAGGAGGGGAAAAAACUCACCAAAAAUGCUUAUGAAAAGGUAUAGCAUGAAAGAAUUACCUCUCCCUACUUCCAAAAGAUGAUGAUGACCGGUUUGAUCGCCUACCACCAAUUAGCCAAUCAUCCUCACUGGUUCUUAAGUUUCGAGACCAAUUAUUAUUGGAUCUGAAACUCCGGCCACCACGCCUAUUCAAAUCAUCACCACCAUCGUCAUCAGAGCCCCAGCUGCUGCCCCGACCACGUGAUAUCCUAGAACCUCUCCGUUCUCUAGAACCACCUCGAGAACUCCGAUCCCUAUUGGAAAAUCUGCCGUAGUAGUCACCUGCAGGCCCAUCAUCUUGCAAAGCAGGCAACUGCCAAAACAUAGCAUUUCAGUUACUCAAAAGCAAUUUAACACAGGGAACCUAUCUCAAAUAAAAAUCAACAGCAGUUUACAUAAAUCAAAUCAUGGACAACUUGAAUAAGUCUUCAGAGUCCAGACAGAGGAGGCUAUGACAAGAAACAUGACCAACAUCUUAAACCAACCUUUGUAAUCUUGGAAAUAGUGUUCCCAGGUGGCAUUUGCUUAUUCAGCAGCUCUUUUGCAAUCUCCUCUGGAAGAUCAAAGACUGCUCCUUGAACCUGAUCUCAUUAAAGUCAAUGACUUGUUUACAGCAAAACUGAUGGAGACAUGUAGGAAUAUAAAUCAACAAAAUGUUGUUGCAAAUACGCACCCUUUCAUCAGCAACUAAGUAUAUUUUUCCUAAUUCAUCAGCAGCUGUAGGAUAAACAUCAGAAAGAAAUCCAGUGACAGAUCUAGCAGAAAGGAACCCUCUAGAAUAACCAGAAUCACGUGUCAAUUGUAAUGUCACCCAUCCCUGCAACAAAAAUGUCCAAUCCAAAUCAAAUAAUCAAAUACCUGCAGAAGGGAUAAAAAUAGAUACUCUAAAAAUAGGAAGUUAAUGAGAAAAGAGAUACAAAGUAGCCAAAUUGGCAUAUUAGGCAUCAUGCCCAAACAAGAAGAAAGAAACAAAGAUUUCUGCAAUUGAAAAUACACAAACAUACUGAGAAGUAAAAAGAAAGCUGCAGAUAUACAACAUGCACAAAACAGAAUUCGUGGACUCCAAAGCCCCCAUAACCUAACCACAUUACAACAAAGACAAACCCCUGAUGACUGAGCCCCACACACCCCACUCCCCAUCAACUAUUGCACUAAAAAAGUGACAGAAUCUAGAACCAAAAUCUUAAGCCAUUCUUGGCACAACAAACAUGCACCAUGCAAAGCACAUUUUAAGUAUUUACUUCCCAAGACUCAAAACUAUAAGGAUUUAAGAGAAGUAACCAAUAUGAUAUUAUAUUUCUAGCUUUUCAUGUUUAAUUUACAGUUGAAGAGCUUAAAAGAGUUACCUUUAAGGAAAUUCAAGCAUUUCUAAGACUUAAAAGAGUUACCUGUUCAUGGCUAAUAAGAGACCGGAAUGAAGGAGGCUGCGAGAAACCACUCAGGUGUGCCAGCGCAGCUGCAAGAGCACCUGUUCCUUUUUCUUCAAUCAGUUUCUGUGCAGUUGGGGUAAAGAACUCCACAGACUCGGGAUGAACUCCAUUAAGAGUAGCAACAACUUGUUCAGCUGAUGACUCCAAAACCUCUUCAAUAGCUGGUGGGCUAAUAAACUCAAAUUUGCAUCCCACAUCACGUUCAAGGGAUUUGACUGUUCUCCGCUGGCUACUAGUAAACAUCAGAAUGGCAGUGCCCUCUUUUCCUGCACGUCCAGUACGACCAGAGCGAUGCACAAAAGUCUCUGGAUCAUUGGGCAAUUCAUAGUGGAUAAUCUGGAGAAAAAGGAGGUCCACAUACUUCUGAAUAUGUUGAAAACAUAAUUUUGACUAAAUGUUUAAUGCAAAAAGGCCCCCAAGUUAUCAAGUUUAAAACACUACACGAAACGCAACCGGAAUCAGGUCUAGAAAACCAUGCAAGUUAACUUAAUUGCUGUCAAACAUCAGAAUAACAAGUCCAGACAGGACAUUCAGUAUAAAUUAGCUCCACAAUUUACUAAAGGUAAAGCAUCCAAAGAAAUGCUCCUAAAGUUAGGGUGCAUUUCUUCUGAAACUGCAUUUUUCUUCCCACUGUUGCUAUGAUACAGAGGUUCAUCAGAUUAAGUAAUAAGUAAACGUCAUAACUAAACCCUGAUUUUUUUUUUAUUUUUUUUUUUGUUGAAAAAAAUAGUUAACCCUGAUAUUUUUUGUUCAUCAGAUUAAGUAAUAAUGAAAUUUCAUAACUAAACCCUGAUUAUUUCAAUUGAUUUUUUUUGUUGAAAAAACGGUUAGCUUAGCUCCCUGAUUUUUUCAACUGAUUUUUCCUUUUUGUUGAAAAAAUGGUUAGCCCCACUGUUGCUGUGAUACAGAGGUUCAUCAGAUUGAGUAAAAAUUAAAUGUCAUAAUUAAUCCCCGAUUUUUUCAACUGAUUUUUUUGGUUGGAAAAAUAAUUAGCUUAGCUCUUAUUAUUAUUAAUAAAUUAACUCAAACACCACAUUUAUAUUAAUUUUAAAAAGAUAUUAAGCUACAUUACUUCUUAAAAAGUUAAUAAAUGAUGAGUGAUCAUAAAAGAAAUAUCAUCUACUUACUAAAUCAACAUUAGGAAUAUCAAGCCCACGCGCCGCAACAUCAGUAGCAACAAGCACAGUGAAUUUUCCUUGACGGAAACCAUUUAACGUUCUCUCCCUUUGAUGCUGAGAUAUAUCACCAUGCAGUGCCUCCGAAGCAAUGCUAUUUGUUAGUGCCAUUGAGACUUCAUCAGCAUCUCGCUUUGUCUGUGUGAAAACAAUGGUCUUCCCACCCUUUGCAUAGACCUGAUCACAAUAGAGUACAAUUCUAUAAUGAAAACUAAAUCUCACAAUGGCUCAAUUAGCAGUGCCCCAUCCAAUAUAUUGGGUGAGAACAAGCAACCCAGAGAAACCCUUUUACCAUUUAUGCAAUGAAGCCAUCAUCCACAAUUAAGGUGGAUUAUACUUUCAAGUGAAGAAUACCUUAUGUCCAUAUUGGAAUCCUCCACGAUCUUUCACUAUAUUUUUCUACCAAAUAUACCACAUGUGCUCUUCAAGAUAAGCACAAUUAUUUACAAUCAGUAACAAGAACGAUAACAUGGAAAAUUUAUGUCUUUCAGACAUUGGGAAAAACUGUAAUAUGUAUAUGUUACUUUUGUUUGUGCAAUACCUCCUAUCAAUUCCAGAAAUGGAGGGGAAGAAGUACUACCAAAUGACACUCACUAUUCCUUUUCUAAAAAACCUACAGAUUAUGUGAGAUGCUUCUCCUAUCCAUAUUGACAGGCCAUUUCCAAGGAAUAAUCAACUGCAUAUUAUGAAGAAGACAUGAUAUAAAUUAAUGUUGAUUCUUGAAUAUAUUGAGCAGGUUGAGAUUAAUAACAUAUCAAAAUCAGAAUUGCCUACUAUAUUGCAUAACAUGAAAGAAAACAAUACCAUUAAGAAGAAAUCCACACCAUACCGUUAUAAGAUCACUAAGAAUGGUCCGCUUAGAAGUUGCAGUUGUUGGUAUUGCAUAGAGCUUGAUGCCUUCUGCCAACUUUUCAUCAUGGUCACCCACCUAAGGGAAAAGCAGAAAAAAAAAAAAGGAAAAAGAAACAGUAUUCAACAUUUGUUCUCAUAUUAAAUUGGCACAGGAAAAGAUAUUGACAUACAUGCAGAGAAUCUCAAGUCAAUAUCAACUAGAAACCUUCGUAUCUUUGCAAAAUAAAUGAAAAGAUGAUGAAAAUCACUAGAAAGCAGAGGUAACAGGACAGUGUAUGUUAAGUAAAAUGUUAAUAUACCCUACUUAAUGUGCAACAAGGAACCUAAAGCACUAGUCAUCACCCUUAGCCCCUCGCAGUAUCCAUUUUUUAUGUGUCAGAAGAAAUGAGGAGUUACCCAUGCUGAAAUAGUGAUCAUAAGGCUUGACAUUAAUGGAUAAAAAGUCAAUUUGAGAGUUUUAUUGUACCAAGCCAAGUAAAAGGGUUUCAUUCACUGAGUUUAGGAAGUAUAAAUCACAUAAAAUACUACAUUCGUCUGCAACUUCCCCAUUCAAAAUCAACCACAAAGUUUCACAUAGCUCCAACAGUCCAGCUAAGAACAUAGAGUCAAAUUUCUAUGAACAAAAUAAUGUUUAAUAUUUUCUCAACAAAAUUCCAAUUUUAUGCUACAUACUCAUGCCUCACAUGAUAUGGUAGCACUACUAUCCGUCUUCCAGCUUCACACCAAACAAUCAAUUAGGAGGACCAAUCAGCAUAAGGCAAUAUUCCAGGCUGGGGAUGAUUACCAAUUAACACAGAAAAAGAACCAAAUAAUGAUCCAAUCAUCAUAUUGACUAGCUGAAUAAGCAUUUGUAUUAUAGAGAAAAUCUUGAACUUUCUGCUUGAGUACUAUCUACAUUCUUGAUAAUCAAGUUUCAAUUCAAAAUGUGAUAGAAGAGGUUUUGAAAUGAGUCCAGAACUUUCAUGGGUAUCUUCAGAAUUAAAAAGCUUUACCCGCCUACCAGAUAAUGUUAGAUGUAUUUCACUGUAAUUCUACACUUGCAAAAAAUGACAAUAUUUCAUUUGCUAAAAGUCCAGGAGCACACAUAAGAUUACACAAACAGGUAGAGCAGCAGCUUUUAAGCUGUCCUCUGAGAAAAAGGAAACAAGUCAAGUUAAAAAAAUCAAGCUGCCUGAGAAAAUACCUUGAAGAACUCCUAGGGCCUCUAAUGAAAUAUUCACAAAAAUGUUUUGCAGCAAAAUUCUUGCAGGUUAAAUUUUGUACUGAAAUUGCAAAAUGAUUUGUCAUUGACUGUCACAACCAAAUAAAAAGAACAGAAAAAGCAGUUGUUAUGGGUUCCUCCAGUAUAGGCAUCACAAGUGAAGAGGAACAAAAAACAGAAUAGGAGCACACCACAAUGUCAUCAUUGCAAAUUAAAGAAAUGGAUGUUAGGAUAAACAUUCAAGAGACACCAUAAGCCACAUUUUCAAUGCUCAAAUUCAAUUAGUUAGAAGGAUAGGCAAGUUCACAAAACAUUUUCCUUGAAUUAUAGUUAGCCCUGAGGCCUAGCUUACAUGGUCAAGGGUUUGGGGAGGGUUUUUGGGAGGUUCCAAGUUCAAGCCCCAAUGGGGACAAAAAUUUCCCUAUCAAAAACCAGGAAAAAAAAAAUCCCCUGAAUUAUACUUGGGAAGGUUAAGUAGAAUACUAAACACUGAAGAUAUGGCUAUUGGCAAAAAAUAAAUGGAAAGUGAAAACCGUGUUGCUUGGACCAUAUAGUUGGCAUGUCGCACUUCAAUUCAGUGAUAGAUCCAUUUCCUUACCACCUUUAGUAUGAACUUUUAUCUAAUAUUUUUUUUCAAGAACAUAAUUAUUGAUAAAUAACUUUGACACUGUUAAAAAAAGAAACUUUGUAUUAGAGGAACAUACUAAGAACUAUAUCAUCCAGAGACUAACAAUAAAGUUAGGUUAAUAACCAUACAUACAUGCAUAUAUGAAUAGCUUUGAAGAAGACCAUCUAUAAAUUGUGCCUUAUAGCAAAUCUAAAAAAAUGACUAAAAUACAUAAAUCCACACCAUAUUCAAUCCUGCCGUGUUGAGAAAUAGGGAAGUUUGGAAAAUAAGGAACAAAGUAUUACCAAAUCAAUUGUCAAAGGAUUGUCCAAAUAUUUCCUUGCAAGUUUCUUUACCCAAGCAGGCAUGGUUGCAGAGAAAAGCAUACUUUGGCGCUCAGAUGGGAGUUUUUCUAAAAUAACUUCAACAUCUUCCUCAAAUCCGACCGCAAGCAUUUGAUCAGCUUCAUCAAGGACCAAAUUCUGAACUUCUCCCAAUUUGAGGCUGUUGCCCUUGAUCAGGUCAAUGAUUCUACCUGGAGUGCCAACCACAACGUCAACUCCACGGGAAAGUGCAUUUUGCUGUGUGAUAUAAGAAACUCCUCCAUAGACACAAACUGUGCUCAAAUAAGGUGCAGACUCUUUAAUUUCCUUCUCCACUUGCUUUGCUAACUCCCUGGUAGGUGCUAGGACCAAAACUCUAGGAAGCCGUCCAGACCGCCUUCAAACACACAAACAAAGAAAUGAAACCUCGAACCAGUUAACAUAGCGGAGAUUUUAUGUGUACACGUCACAAGGAGUACCUCUGAGAUGUUCUUUUUUCAUCAUCUUCACUGAGGCGUUUAAUAAUUGGGAUUCCAAAGGCUAAUGUCUUCCCUGUCCCAGUCUUUGCCCGGGCAAUGAGAUCUCGACCUUCUAGAGCAGGCACUAACACAGCUCUCUAGAAUUUUAAAGGAAAAGCAAGAAGAAAAGCAAGUUUUAUCUCAGAAAACAAAAAACAAUUCAGAGAACGAGAAAGAAAACCCCAAAAAUAAACUAUCGUCCUAUUGAAGGCAAAUAUGAGUCCAGUUUGAAUACGAAACACUGAGAUUAAUAAUUCAAACAACAUUUAACUGCAAUGAAACAAAGCAGAAAAUGCAUGUAUACACACCUGAAUGGGGAAGAGAUGUGUAAUUCCUCGUUGUUCGAGGGAUUCGACGAGGCGCGGAGGCAAACCCAAUUGGGCAAGAGCGAGUUCGUCUUCUUGGGCGGCAGCAGAGGCCUCAAUUUCAGGGUCGUAGUCGUCAUCUGUGUCAGUGACAUCCAAAGGAUCUUUAGAGAAACCACCGAGACCUUUGAAGGCCUCUUCACUCAGCACCGAAUUAGGAGUAGCAAUGGCAGAGGGAACGAAGGAAAUGCCCUGCUUGAAACUUCUCCUUAGAGAAGCAUCUGAGAGAACCCUGGUGUUUGGAGCUUUGAAAACGCCUAAGUGAGUCUUAUCGGAGAAUGGCAGAGAAAGGGAAUGUGCAGAUGUCCUUCUAGAAAGCUCAAGAGCCGUCGUCUGGUAAACAGAAGAAACGCCUAUAAUAGAAGAAGCCAUUGAUACCAGGGUGUGUAAAGUCCAGCCCCAGGUGCUAGAACCGAAUAGAAGUAAAGGUUGGUAGUGACCCAAACCCUCUUCCGCCUUUUCUGCCGAUGGAUUGCGGAAGGGAUUCUGUAGUUGCCCGGUACUAAGUUCAAAGUUCUCAGCCACUCACAGACACUAACCAACUUAGGAGAGGAAGAGAGGGAGAGAAGAAGAGAGGCGGCGUGGGCUACAGAGAGAGAGGAGGGAUAGGGUGGAACUCAGAUAAGGCCACCCCUUCGAAAUGUAUGGCGCUGCAAACCUCCACCUCGUUCCCAAGUGUCGGAACCACAGCAGAUCCUUUUUAUGCAAAUAUCUCCCAAAGUUCCAUUCAGCCCCUGCCCUAACCCUAUAUAAAUAUCUUUCACCGUUUUUCUCGCCUCUCUAUGUAUUUUGCCCGUUUCUGUUUUUAUUUUUGAUUCCUUAAUUAUUUUUUGGUGGUGAAGGACCAUUUGUUAUGCACAAAAUUGAAUUUUACGUCUUACAGAAAAUUAUUUUUCUGAAAAAAAAGUUCAAAAAAAUGACGGUUAAAAAAUUAUCUUAUGAUAUACGGAGCUUUAUGCCAAUGCUAAGUAGGGAAAAAAAUCGUGUUUUAUUAAACAAUUUUCAAAAUUAAAAAAAAUAAUUUUUUCUUUAUUUAGAAAAAGGGUGUGGACCCCGUAUUUCGGUUCAUGUGUUUUCUACUCGAUAGCAAGCUCGAUUUUUAUUUGAAAAUGAUUUUAUUUAGUAAACAAAAUAAGAAAGAAAACUCUAAGUGUGACUCCUUAUUUUAGAAAAUAUGGUCUAUGAAAACUAAAUCGGAUUCGGGGGUCAGGUUACUUAUCGAAAAGGUACGAUGAAGACCGUAAUACCCCUCUAAGUCCUUAAAGUCGGGUCUCUAUUAAUAAAAUGAAGCUGAUAUGACAAUCAAUAGGAUGCAUAGAGAAUGACCAGAAUGAGAGUGGAUGCGUACCUGGCCACGAACGAGCAAUAUGCUAUCAUAAAAAUGGGGUAAGUGUACAAUAAAGAGUACAAAACAUAUCACAUGCAUCACCAAACAUAAAUUAAAACGGUUCGAAGGAAAACUGGAUUUUUGAAAUUUAUUGAAAAAUUGGAGUCUUAGAGAUUAUUUGAAAAUUGGAGUUUUAGAGAUCAUUUUAAAAUCGGAUUUUUAGAAAUUAAAUGUAAGAAUGAGAAUUUUAGAAAUUAAAUUUGAAAGAGAUUGGAAUUUUGAAAAUUAUUUGAGAGUUCGGGAUUUUAAAAAAUUAAAUUAAGAAAAUUGGGACCUUGAAAAUUAAAUUUUGAAAUAAAUCAGAAUUGAAAAUUAUUUGAGAAGCAGAAACUAUGGAAAUUGAAUUAUAAAAAUUGAAAAUUUUGGAAAUCAUUCGAAUGCAGAAUUUUUAGAAAUAAAUGAAUAAAAUAAUAACAAUAAUGAUAAUAAUAAUAAGUAACGGAAUAAAUGCGAUAAUUGGAAUAUUGGAAAUUGAAAAUUAAGUUCGGAAAUUGGAAAAUUGGAAUUUUAGAUAACUAAAUUUGGAAAAUUGGAAUUUUAAAGAAUUAUUUAAAGACGAAAUUUUAAAUAAAUGAAUAAGUAGAUAAAUAAAUGAAUGGAAUAAUAAUAAUGACAAAAUAAUAAUGAUUGGAUAAAUAAUUGUGGAAGUUAGGAUUUCGGAAAUUGAAAAUUGAACUUAGGGAUUGAAAAUUUAAAGAAUUAUUUAGGGAUGAAAUUUUAAAUAAAUGAACAAGUGAAUAAAUGAAUGAAUGAAAUAACGAAAAUAAUAAUAAUAGGAUAAAUAAUUACGAAGAUGAGAAUUUUGGAAAUUGGAAAUUGAAUUUAGAGAUUGGAAAUUUAAAGAAUUAUUUAAGGAUGAAAUUUUAAAUAAAUGAAUAAGUGAAUAAAUAAAUGAAUAGAAUAACAAAAAUAAUAAUAAUAGGAUAAAUAAUUACGAAGAUGAGAAUUUUGGAAAUUGGAAAUUGAAUUUAGAGAUUGGAAAUUUGAAGAAUUAUUUAGAGAGGGGAUUUUAAAUAAAUGGAUAAGUGAAUAAGUGAAUGGAAUGACGAAAAUAAUAAAGAUUGGACAAAUAAGUGCGAAAAGUAGAAUUUUAGAGAUUGGAGAUUGAAUUUAUAGAUUGAAAAUUUGAUAAAUUAUUUAAAGACGAGAUUUUAAAUAUAUGAAUAAGUGAAUAAAUAAAUGAACGGGAUAAUGAUAAUAACAAAAAUAAUCAUUAAACAAAUGAAUGUGAAUAGUGGAAUUUUUUAGAUUGGAAAACGGAAUUUUGAAAAAUUGAACUUUAAUUAUUGGAAUUUAUAAAAUAAAUUAGUGGAAUAAUAAUAAUAAUAAUGAAAAUAAUAUUGAAACGAAUGAACGUGAAUAGUGAAAUUUUUUAGAUUGAAAAUUAAAAUUGGAAAUAAAUAAAUAAAUAUGGAAUAAUAAUAAUAAUAAUAACAAAAAUACCGUUUAAACGAAUGAACGUGAAUAGUGGAAUCUUUGAUAUUGAAAAUUAAAUUCGAAAGUAAGAUUUUUGAAGAAUUGAACUUUAAUGAUUGAAAUUUUUAAAAGAAAUAAAUAAAUGAAUAUGAAAUAAUAAUAAUAACAAAAAUAAUAUUUAAACGAAUGAACGUGAAUAGUGGAAUUUUUUAUAUUGAAAAUUAAAUUCGGAAAUCAGAUUUUUGAAGAAUUAAACUUUAAUGUUUAGAAUUUUUAAAAUAAAUAAAUAAAUAAAUACAUAUGAAAUAAUAAUAAUAAUAAUAAAAUAAUAUUUAAACGAAUGAACGUGAAUAGUGGAAUUUUUUAGAUUAAAAUUUUGAAGAGUAAUUUAGUGAUGAGAUUUUAAAUAGAUAAAGGAGUGAAUAAAUAAAUGAAUGGAAUAAUAAAAAUAAUAAUGAUCGAAUAGAUAAUUACAAAGAUAGGAAUUUUGGAAGUUGAAAUUGAAUUUAGAGAUUGAAAAAUUUGAAGAAUUAUUUAAAAAUAGAAGUUUUAAAAUUAGAUAGAUAAAUAAAUAAAUAAAGUAAUAAUAAUAACGAAAAUAAUAAUAAUUAAAUAAAUAAAUAUGAAAAACGGAAUUUAAAUUUGAAAAUCGAAAUUUUGAAGAAUUAUUUUAAAAUUGAAGUUUUUUUUAAAUAAAAAAUAAAUUCAAAAAUAAUUAAAGUUUGGAAAAUUAAACUUAAAAAUUAGAGUUUUGAAAAAUUAAAUUAAAAAUUUUGGAAUUUCGAAAACUUAUUUGAAAAUAGAAGUUUGGAAAGUUAAAUUAAAUAAUAAUGAUGAUGAUGAUGAUGAUGAUAGUUUGGAAAGCUGCUUGUAUUAAGGGAUAAAGUGUAUUAAGGGAUUAGUUAUUUGAAGGGAAAGAAAAUUCCAUCUCUCUGUUUUUUCAAGCAUGUGGGUUUUUAUAUUUUUUUUCAUUGUUCCCUGCUUUCUCAGCAACCAGACACAACAUUAUAGUUUCUUUAGAGAUAAACAAAAUAAGAAGCUAUGUUUUGACUCUCCACGAUCCGAAUAUGUGAGUUUGGGAACAUAGAAAAGCUUUAUGCAGUGGAAGGAAGCAGAUUUGAUGGCACCACCAGCGGAGCCAGUCUCGUGAGCAUCCAUGGUGGAGGGUGAGAUAGGAGGAGAGAGAGGUGGAGUUGGAGAUGGAGAUGGAGAUGGUCAUGCAUGGUAUGCUAUAUGUAUGUAGAUGGUGAGUGGGUAGGGGUUUGAAGGAUAUGCAUGAAGAGUGGUGGAUGCCGCUGGUGGAAUAGAUAAUGAAGGGUGGUGAGAAAAUGAUUAAAGGGUUAGAGAAGGUUUAGAGAGAGAAAAUGGGUUUACGGGUUUAGUAUGAGGUGGUGAAAUGGGAUGGUUAUAUUCAUGCAUGUGGUAUGUAUGGAAGAUAUGGAGGCUAAGUAGCAAAUUAUAUGGGUAUGAGGGAUGGAUUUGGUAGGUAUGGAGCAAUGGGUUGGAUGGUUGGAUGGGAACUAGGAUAGCUGAGGUGGUGAGCAUGGUAUGGGUUCAAUGUGGCGACGCAUGACCAUGCAAGAGUGGAGAGAACUGGAAACUCUCAUUACCAUAAUCAAACAUCAAACCAAAAUGGCCAGCCUUUUACAGGGGAAAGAUCAACAAAAUUAGAGAAAACAAAAAACAGAGCAAGCACAUGUUGGUAAUCGUAUUCAACUAAAACAAAUCUGUGGUCCUGGAUGCCCACAGCCAAUCACAAAAUAAUCUUCAUGGAUUAACAGAAGACCUUACUUGAAAAUCCAGAGUGCUAACCUUCCUCUCUCCCGUUCCCCUCGUCUGAAUAUCCCCACCCUGAAAAAACAAACCAGACCUCCAAUGCCAACCUUUCUUCUCACUGCCUUUUGCCCAACUGCUCCUGUUCCAUCCCCCCAUCUCUUACUCAGAGAUGUCUCUCUCAUCAACCACCACCAUGGUGAGUUAGUGACGUGUCCCAUGCAGCUUCACUCUUCUGAAACCGUCCCCCACUCCUCCAAAUGAAGAUGCAGCUCACUCCCCGUUCUUCCAGUGCAAAAAAAAGGCCUUUGGUCCCUUAAGGGGUCAAAGGACUUUUCAAGACCCGAAAUCAUCUUUUAAGACAAAUGAUUUAAGUAGAUAAAGAAACAAAGGGAACCAUUACAAUUUUAGAAUUAAAAAAAAAAAAAAAACUGCAUAAAGACGUCGUUGCUCUUAAAGAAGAUUUUAGCCAAAAACAAGAUGUUAUGAUUUCCUUUCCGUAUUAAAUUAUUUUUGAAAUGAAAAAAUUAUUUAUUUUGUUUUAAUUUUUAAAUUAGUUUUAUUAAGUAAACUUUAAAAUCUAAAAAAAAAAAAAUCUUUAUCUUAAAAUUUAAUUGUUCUAUUCAUAAUUGAAAACCAUUUCUUGGGGAAAAAAAAACUCAUAAAAACAUAGAAAAAGAAAUCAAUUUCUUGUUUUUAAAAUUAAAAAAAUUAAUUUUUCGUUUUCAAAAUUGAUUAAUGUAAAUUAAAGUUUAAGAGAAAAUUCAAGAUUAAAAAAAAAAUAUUUUCCAAUCCUUGUUCAACUUAAUAUAAAAUAAUAUUUAUUUUUAUACUUGAAAGAUUUUCAAUCUUAAUUAUAAAUGGUAAAAUUGGCACCUUCCAAAACCAUAAAUUUGAAAAUUAAUUUUGUAUCAUCACAUUUUAAGGAAAAUUAAACAUGUCCAUCCACGUUACAAAAAAAUCUAACUAAUUAAAAAGAUGUUAAAAUAAGAAUCAAGAUAGCCUCCAUAAAAGAUUUUUUAUCCUUUUAACAAGGAGAUAAUAUGUAGCAUAUUUUCUAUUCAAAAAAAUACAUCACAUCAAUUCUUUCUAAAAAUAUUUACGCAAUUUUAAAUUAUACAUUUACAAGAAUUAAGCAAUAAAAAGUGGAAUUUGUUAUAACAAUAGAUAUUUUUUUCAUAAUAAUUUAAAUAAGAUUAAAAAAUAAAUUAUGUUUCAAUUAAUUUUAAAUUUUAUCUUAAAAAUCGAUUAAAAUAUUUUUAUUUUUAUUUUUAUCUUUAAAUCUUUACAAAUAAAUUGAUAAAUAAAAAAAAAAUAAUUCAAAUGAUAAUUUUUUCUUCCAUUUUUAAAUUUAUCUUCAAAAAACCUUUGUAAUCUAUUUUUAUAUUUAUUAGAUUCUAAAGUUUAACACUUUGUUUUUUUAUUUAUGUUUAUUAAAAAUACUAAUAUAAAAUUUAUAAAUGAUUAAAAUAAAUGAUUUACACAUUUUUAUUUAUUCAAUUUUCAAUUGUAAUAAAAGAUAAUGGCAGAGAAGUUUUGCAUAUAUGAUUUUUAGGCUAAGACAAUUUUUAGCAUGUGUGGACCCCGUAUUUCUGUUUAUGCACUUUCACUCGAUGGCGAACUCGCUUUUUAUUUUAAAAAUGAUUUAUUACUUAGAAAAUGACUUAGAGUUGUUACUUAUUUUUGUUUUAUUUUUAAAGGCUAAACAAAAUAAGAAAGAAAACACUUAGUAUGACUCUUUAUUUGGAAAAUGUGGUCUGUGAAAAACCAAAUAUGAGCUCGGAGGUUAGGUUACUUAUUGGGAAGGUACGGUAAAGACCGUAGCACCCCUCUAAGUCCCUAAAGACGAGUCUCUACUGAUGAGAUGAAGCAAGUAUGACAAUUGAUUGAUCAAAUAUGGAUUCCGAAUGAAUAUCAAUCAAAACAAAAUAAUCGAAUGAACAAGAGAGGCAAAAAGCGUACCUGAGUGAUGAGCGGAUUUACUUCAAAGAAAACAAAGGUUAGUAAACAAGUACAGAAUAAUCGCAUGCAUGUCAUAGAGUGGAAUAAGUCAAUCAUGUAUAGCAAUCAAUCAAUCAAUGAGAGCAUCACAUAUGUUGGGCCCCCACUAAAGCCCGAUUUAUUUUUACAUAAAUUAAUCCCAUGAAUUUCCAUUAUUUGGAAUUACGGAAUUAAAUUCAUGCUUACUUCAAAACAUUUUUAAAAAUCAAGGAAAAUAUAAAAGUGGCUUGCUAGAAAGAAAAUGACAGCAAAAUUUUAUUGGAAGUGAGAUUUUUAUAACCUAAAAACUCUAGGGAUGAAAAAUUGUGGGGUUGAGAUUAUUUUAAAAAUACUAGAAUUCGAGAAAUUAUUUGAAGAAAUGGAUUUGGAAAAUUAUUUUCAAAAUCAAAGAUGAUGAAAUGGGAGAUGACACGUGGCCUAAAGGUGGCCAUGCUCUGGUGGACCCAGAGACUUGAAUGAAUGCGGAUUUUUCAACUCUGAUUCCAUCUUUUGCCAGAAUAUCAUCAGCCUAGAGUACUAGGCCCAUCACUUUUAAGAAAGUUGUGGUAGUCACAUUCCCUUGGAUGUAAGGAGCUUCAAUGCACCAAUCCUUUUUUGUAAAGCAACAUCAGAUUAUUCACUUGUCUUCCUCACCUAGUGCCUUGUCCCCAUUUUUCCUUUGUUGGAACCUUGACUCACCUUGCAUGGACGCUGGCAAAUCUUUGAUCAUGUCGGUCUGGCUAGUUGAAUCUUUUCUAGUGUUCUGUAUAGGUAAUUGAAGAGCAAAGACCAAAUUUUGAUCAUCUGCAACUGUCCCAGACGUACCUAUGUCUCUUGUGGCGAAGCUAGUGGCAGGGUCUUCCAUAAACAUUGCAAGGGCCUGAUGUAGCAAAGCAUUCCCAUAUAGAAGAAUGUAAUUCAUCAAGAGUGAAAAGUGCGGCGGCUGCUAACGAAAUAAUUCCUUUGUUUCAGGGGUCAACCUUGCCUCAUCAGGAAUUUUAAGUGAUUUUUCCAAUGCACAAACUUUCUGCGUGUUGUUAUUGGGUUUUUAGAAUAGAAUGGGGAAUGUCCAACAAACAUCUCAUACAUAACUGCACCUAACGAUCACUAAUCACAUCCCAUGCCAUAUUCUUUCUUCAAUAAUACUUCUGGAACAAUAGAACUCGACGUGUCUUCCAUGUAGAAUGCCAACGUCCUGUUUUUCUACCAAUGUCGACUUUGUUCAAGGGAAUUUUCCAAUGUUUCACAUGCUCAUAAUGACGACAACUAGUUUGAGCUCCAUAAUUUCCAAAAAACCUGUGAUGGAUCAGAUUUCCAUAUUGCAUUCUGAAAUGUGCCAGAACUCAUGCUGCUGCUUUCAUUGGCACCAAACUGAUCAACCUCACCAUUGGCAAAUCUGUUGCCACCAUCAGCAUUGACAGUAGAGUUCUUCAAAGCCCUCCAUGAACCUUUGUCAAGCUGGUAUUGUAAAUCACUAGCUUCAAACGGGUUUCAGGUGAGAAAUUCUUUUGGUUAACCCAAAUCAUCAAUCUUAGAGCAGUUCCUAACAUAAGGCAAGUCAUCUUCAAGAAGCUUUCUUCCUAUGUUUGUCCCAUCCUCAGCAUUAAAUUCAAUGCCUUUUAUAUUUAUGCUUUUCUCAGUAAACUGCAUUUUCCUUUUCAUAUCUUGCACAAUUAUUUAAAGGUUGAUCAAUUUCUAGGUGUUUUGCAAGAUUAUAGUCUUUCUCUGCAACCCAUACCACGGAAGCAGCAAAACCAAAGUAUACAGAAGCUAGAACCAUCAUGGACCAACUUGGUUUCACAUUUGCAGACAUGAAUAACCAGUAACCAGGAGUUCUAAGCGAGCAUUCUUUGACCCAUCAUCCUGUUCAUGCUCUGAAAGAAUUCCCAAGCAUCUUCUAGAACUUCUCAUAGUUAGAUAACUUUUCGUCAUUCAAGGUCAAAGCAGCAAUAAGGUUAGCAUUGGAGAAAACCAAGCCUGUAUGGCAUUUGGUGAAGUUCUCAUGCAACAGUAAAGCACCCGACAUCCUCACCAAUUCCUACACAAGUAGAUUACCCCAGACCAACUACAGUUGUUUGGAAAACCACUUUCAUAUGUCAAUGUACCAAAUCAGGAAACAAUUCCUUUACGUCCUGGUUUAUGAAUGUACCCAGGUGAUUAUUACUCAAAAAGAGCAUAUUUUAGAUAAUAAUUCUCAUAAGUUUCACAUCUUUUGAAUAAUAAUUAUGCCUAAAACACUCAAUUAACAUGUUUUUGCCCUUGCAAGAGUUACUAACAAGUUUUAUGAAGUUUUGGAGUCAUUUCAAGGUAUGAUUUUGAUAAAUUUGUGUCAAAAGAGAUGAAUCAAAUUGAAGAAAACAAAUAAAGUUGAUGAUGAUCCAAAUACACAAUGAAAGAAGUAAUAUAAUUGGUUUGGACCAAGCUUUGGAGCUGAAUUGAAGGUGGUGGAGGUGGAUUAAAAAUGAAGAAAUGGGAGAAAUUGCAAAGAGAAGUCGAAAAACAUGUUUUUGAAUUUUGCAUGACCAUGCGAAAUUUUCGCACAGUCAUGCGAAACGCUCUAAGAAGACGAAAAUAAUGCUAAUGGAUCCUCCACUUCGCACCAUCAUGCGAAAUUGCUGGGGCUCAUGCGAAAAUGUAUUUUCUCCAGAUUCCUUGAUAAAGAAGCCUCUAGAAGACCUCUGAGAUGAUGCCAAGUAUCCACUUUACCUUAGCCUAUAAAUAGAAACUUGAUUGACUCAUUUAAGAACUUUUGAUACAUUUCCUAAUUGUAGAACUUUUUAGACUUCUUCUCUCUAUAUAAUUCUCUACUUUCCUUCAUUUUCUCUCAUUUUCUCGGUAACUAAACAUGUCUUGUGAGAUCAAAUCUCCAAACAUGAGUGGCUAAAUCUCGUUUUUCUCGGAGGAGGGAGGAUCUAAAGACAAGAUUUAUGGUGAAUUAGAGAAUUGAGCUUGAAUUGCAAAGGUAAAUUGAUCCAAUUGAUUGAUUAAUUAAAAUUUGAGGAUUUUUCUCUUCAAAUUGUCUUGGAUGAUUACUACAAUGCAAGCUAGGUAGAUUCAUCAAAUUCUUAAUGCUAGAUUUGAUGAGAUUGAAUAGUUGCAUUGUGUGAAUCAUUGGAAGAUAAUUUAAGAUGAAUUGAAUAUAUGAUUUGAAUUGAUCUCUUGGAUUAGAUUACUUAAUUUGAAGAUAAAUUAGAUAUAGACCUAAAGCUAAAUAAAAAAUCGGUUUAGAUGAAAAUUAGAUCUCAACAUCUAUUCACCAUGGAAAUUGCUUUCUAGAAAAUCCUAACUUCGAGAAUUUCACCUCCUAUUAAUUUUUUUCUCUUUUACACUUCAUUUUCCUCUCAAUUUGAAAUCAUUAUCAUUUUGAAAUUUUGUCAUGCAUUUUCAAAUCAAUUUCACUUGAUCACAAUCAUUUCUUAUCAUCUCAUUCAAGCCUUAAUUACCGAGAAUAAUCCAUCAUUGUGGACGAUACCUAAAAACCACUAUACUACAGUAGUUUGUACUAAAACCACUUUUUGAUCGGGUACAAACUGCUAUAGAAUAGUGAAUUAGGUUAUAAAUUUUGUUUUGAUCCAAUAAACGACAAAAUCAUGAGCGAUAAAAAAUGGCACUGCUGCUAGGGAUGGUGCCUAGGUGAUUAAGGCAUGUUUUUUUUUUUGGUGAGGAUUAGCCCUUGUGAUCCACAUCACAAGAUUGGUGAAGUUCUCUUUACCGAUUCUCUAUUUUUCUUAUUAUUUUUUUAUUCCAUUUUUAUCUUUUAUUCCUCUUUUGUUCUUCUUGGUUUGUUUUGGUUUUUCUUGACUUGUUUUGUAGGCUCUCCAUUGCAUGCUACAUUGAGAAUAAAACUCAAAGGAGAGAUUGAAAAUGACUUAUAUUGCUAAUCAUUUUUGGUUUGUGAUCCAAUUGUUGAGAAAAUGGAAAAUCAAUGGGAAAAUCAACAAACUCAACAAGGACCAAACAAUGGCAAUUCUCACAUGUCUAGAUCAAUGAGAUAAUAUAUGCAUCCUCAAAGGAUUGGCAUGGGAUCAUGUAUAGUUUUUCCUAAUGAGCUUAUUGUGAUAAAAACUCACUUGGUACCCUUUUGACCUCAAUUUCAUGGAAUGGAGAAUGAGAAUCCUUAUACUCACAUCAAGGAUUUUGAAGAGGUUUGUCAUACAUUUCAUGAGGGAAACACAUCCAUUGAGCUUAUGAGAUUGAAGUUUUUUCCAUUCACAUUGAAGGAUAAGGCUAAGUUGUGGUUCAACUCAUUAAGGCCCCAAAGCAUAAGGUAAUGGUUGGAACUACAAACAACCUUCUUGAAGAAAUUUUUUCCCAUACAUCGCACAAGUGGCUUGAAAAGGCAAAUUACCAAAUUUGCGGCAUUGAACAAUGAAAUUUUUUAUGCUUGUUGAGAAAGAUAUAUGGAAGUAAUCAAUGCUUGUCCUCAUCAUGGUUUUGACACAUGGAUGUUGGUGAGUUACUUCUAUGAGGGCAUGUUGCCAACUAUGAAGCAAUUGCUAGAAACCAUGUGUGGAGGUGACUUUAUGAGCAAAAGUCCCGAUGAAGCCUUUGAAUUUUUGAAUUAUGUAGUUGACAUAUCAAGGUAGUGGGAUGAGUCACAUGAAAGGGAUUUACACAAGUCCAAGUCUCAAAACAAUUCAAAAGGAGGAAUGUAUAUGUGGAAUGAAGAUGUUGAUCUACAAGCUAAAAUGGUAGCUUUGACAACAAGGCUAGAAGAACUUGAAGUUAAGGGAUUUCAUGAGGUGGAUGCAAUAUAUGAUAAUCCAAUUUACAUGGAGCAAUGUUCUAGUUGUCAAUCUAUAGAACAUGAAGUGAGUGAUUGUCCUACAAUACCAGCUAUAGGGAAAAAACUUGUUGAGAAUCAUCCAAACAUGUCAUGGAAUUGUGGACAAGAGCAAUUUUCUUUAAGGCAAUACUCACAAAGCCAACAAUUCAUGGAAGACUCUCCACAACAAGUUUCUUUGGUUGAGCAAGCUAUUGUAAACUUGAGUAAAAUUUUGGGUGAUUUUAUUGGUGAUCAAAAGAAUAUCAAUAUUCAAGUAAACCAAAGGAUAGAUCAUGUGGAGACAUCUUUCAAUCAGAAAUUUGAUAGCUUGCAAACCAAUCUCACACAAAAGAUUGAUAAUAUGCAGCUUGCUAUUUCUAAACUCACAAGCAUGCAUAUGGUGCAAGAAAAAGGAAAAUUCUCUUCACAACCCCAACAAAAUCUAAGUGGAGCCCAUGAAAUUGGAGAGACAAGUGAAAGUUCUAUUAAGAAAGAUGAAGUCAAAGCAAUCAUUACCUUAAGAGGUGGUAAGCAAGUUGAUCAACCUAUGCCAAAACCAAAAGAGAAUAAAAGAGGGAAACAAAAGGAAAAUAUGAAAGAACAAGAAAAAUGGAAAGAAGUGAAUGAGGAUGAUAGAUCAAAGGAAAAUGAGAUUGUUAAAGAAGAGGUUAAGAAGAAAGAUAUGCUCUUAGCUCCACCUUUUCCCAUGGCUCUUCAAUCCAAAAAAGUGGCAAAUAAUGUUCCAAAAUUUUUUGAAGUUCUCAAGCAAGUAAAAGUCAAUAUACCACUCCUUGACAUGAUAAAACAAGUUCCAGCCUAUGCCAAAUUUCUUAAGGAUUUGUGUACCAUAAAGAGAGGGAUGCAUUUGAAAAAUAAAGCUUUCUUGAUUGAACAAGUUAGUGCAAUCAUCCAAUGCAAGACUCCAAUCAAGUAUAAGGAUCCGGGAUGCCUAACUAUCUCGGUGAAUAUUGGCAACACUUUUGUAAAAAGAGCACUUUUAGACUUGGGGGCAAGUGUGAAUCUUCUUCCCUACUUAGUAUAUAAGCAAUUGGGGCUUAGAGAACUAUAGUAUACUUCCAUCACACUUUCAUUGCGGAUAGAUCAGUCAAGUUUCCAAUAGGAAUUAUUGAAAAUGUGUUGAUCCAAAUCGAUAAUUUCUAUUAUCCAGUUGAUUUUGUGGUGCUUGAUAUGAAACAAGGAACUAGUGGACUCAACCAUGUUCCUAUUAUACUUGGCCGACAUUUCCUUGCCACAGUAAUGCAUUGAUUAAUUGUCAAAGUGGGGUGAUGCAACUUACCUUUGGUAACAUGACAAUUGAGCUGAACAUUUUUCAUUCAUGUAAGAAUCAUGGAACCAAAGAGGAGAAGGAACUUAAAGAGGCUUAUUUGAUUGAAUUCCCUAUAGAAAAGCUAGUGAAAGAAAAUAUUGAAGAUAAUUUUUCAAGAUGCCCACAAGCAAAGCACACUAAUAAAAAAUGCAGUAUCAUCUGACUUGACUCCACCUCUGCUUUUCCUCUCAGACCAAAAAUCCAUUCCCUUGAUUUCAAUUCUGUUACAUUGCUGAGAAACAGGCUUUCCUGAACUAGUCUCUCCAUUGGGAAGCCAAUAUUCGGGUUCUCCUUCCUUGCAUUUAUGAACAAUCAUAACACCCAUAUCCCCAGUUUUAGAUUGGGUAAAUUGAUGUGUCUGUUUUCAAUAUUUGGACAGGAAAUUUUGAAGUGGACAGUGACGGAAUUUUCGGUACUCAAGGUGCAAACCCAUAUUGAAUGACAUGAACCCCACUACAUCAAAACUAUCAUAGACCUCAUUAUAUGAUGUGAAGAUUGUAGUGGGGCUACUUUCGUCUUCAAGCACAACAAGUUCUGAGGUGGAACCAUGUGAAACAUCCCAUAGAUAUAUAGUGCCUCCAAGAGUAACAACCAGAACGUUGCUGCUAUCCCAGUCCAGUAAGUUCAAGUGAUAGUCAUCCACCAGGUUAGGAGCAGCCAAUGUUCUCUCAAAGGGUGAUACAUAGACCAAGGCAUUUCCAUAACUAGAUGCACAUGAGCAGAGGAGUAUGGGGAAUGAAAUAGCUAAAAACAGAGCAAGAAUGAGAGACUCAAGGAAUUAUUAGGCAAAACCUCGUUUCAUGAGCAAUAAACGGGCAGAGGCAAAUGUGAGACAAACUGGAAGUCCAUAAUACAACUAUCAAACAUCAAACCCAAAUCCAAAGGGGAAUCCAGCUAUUUACAGGGGAAAAUCAAGAGUAUGAAAGGAAACCAAAACAGAGUAUUAUGUACAAACAAAUCAUAUUCAAACAAAAUAACUAGGAAACUUGUGAUAUUCAAACUGAACAAUAGAAUAAUGCUUAGUAGAGAAUGAAAUGAAAUAUUAAGAAAAAUAGAAACAGGUCAAGCUCAAGGUGGCCUUACCUAGAAGUCCACAACAUAAACUUUCCUCUGUUUUUCCUUCUUCAGCUCCUCUUUCUCUGUCACAAUAACCAAAAUGAUCUUCUCUCUAUGUAACCCAAAAACACUAUUGCUCCUCAAGCUACCCUACUCGCUCUAGCAUCCACCAGGCUCCUCUCACAAAGAAACCCAGCUAAUUUCCCACAUCUCUAGCUAUCUCCAUUCCCAAGCUAUCCUAAAAACAUGCUAUUUUUCUCCUCAAGUCUCCUCAUUCUCUUUAACAACUCACUAUCUCUAUAAUCCCCACAAAACCCUCUCCCCUCUCCUCUGUCUUGCCUCCAAAGCCACCUUAAAAGUCCUUCUAUAAUCCCUCACAAAAUAUCUCACUUUCACCCUCAACAGAAUACGCUCCCCCAAAAAACUAUUUCUGAAUAUUCCCAUGACACGUGUCAGCCUCCCAUUGUUUCUCCAAACCACUAACAUGAUUCCCUAAUGGCCUCUCAAGAGUCGACACGUGGUCUUCCAAAAUUGUGACACAUGGCAAAAUGAUCCGCAAGAAAGUGAGCCCCAAAAUGGGGGUCUACAACAUGAAUUUUUUUUUUUUUGGAGAGGUUGAAAUCGAUUAGGAACAAGAUUUAAAAUGUUGAUAUUUUUAAGCUAAGCCAAUUCCCAAUCUAUAUAAUUCUAAAAUUACCAUAGUAGGAAAAAUAUUUCCAAAUCUACCAUAGUUUUGGACAAAUAGGAAAGAGAAAAAUAUAUAUAGUUUAAAAAAAAUCGUUUGACUAAAAUCGUCUCUUGAAGAAACCUGAAUAAAAUAAGAGGAUAAAUAUACUUUUUUUAAAAAAAAGUAAGAAAUCGUCUUUUGAAAAGACGAUUUUAUUAAAAAAAUAAAAUAAAGUAAUUAUUAAAAGUGGGAAAUCGUCUUUUGAAGAGACGAUUUUGUUAGGGGUGGGGGGUAAUCAUCUCUUCAAGAGACAAUUUUCAUAAAAAACAAAAAACAAACAAACAAACAAACAAACAAAAAGACAAAACAAAAAAACCAGAAUCAAAAAGUGAGAAUCUAAAAAAAAUGAGAUUUAAAAAAAAAAGAAAAAAAAAAAAAAGAAAUUGAUUUUCUAAAAAAAACUUCAAAAAUCAUAUAAUUAUUUAACAAAUUAAUAAUAAUUUUUUUUAUAUAAACUCAUUUUUCACAUAAAAUUGAUAAUAAUUUUUUAAAUUCCAAAAUAAAAGAAACAAAAAAUAAUAGAUAAAUAUUAUUUAUCUUAUAAAUAAAAAAAAAAUUAAAUUAAAUUAAUUUUAUUAAUUAUAAUUAAUUGAAUUAAUUUAAAUAAAAAAUUGAAGGUUAAGAAAUUUUUUUUAAUUCAAUAUAUAAUUUAAUAUAAAUUUUUUAAAUAUGGAAUGUUAAACAUAAUUUAUAUUUUAUAAAUAUUAUUGUUGAUAAAUAUCUUAAUAAUUAUAAUUAUUUUUAUAUAUUAGAUUGAGUAAAUAAAAUUAAUUUAUUUAUUUAUAUCUAUAUAUAUAAUAAUUAUAUUACUGUAUAAGUACAUUAUUUUUAGGGAAUGAAAAAAAUGGAUUUUUGAAGUUUUUUUUUUUUUUUUUUUUUGUGAAAGUAGUCUUUUGAAGAGAUGAUUGCGAUUUCCCACUUUAUAUAUAUAUAUAUUUGAAAAUCGUCUCUUUAGAAGUCGAUUUCUCACUUUUUUAAAAGAUAAUUUUUUUUAUAAUAAAAAAAAUAUGUUUCUCUUUCCUACUUGGACAAAGCUACGGUAGAUUUGAAAUUAUUUUUCCCACUAUGGUAGUUUAUUAAUUAUUUUUUAAAAUUAUCGUACUUUUAUCAAAAAUUCGAUUUUAUCGCUGUUGAAGGCUGAAGAAGAGUGACCCAAUCUAAACCACAAACCAAAUGGAGUAUUUGAAUCUUAAUGAUAUUUGAUGAAUAAAUAUAUAUAUUAUAUUGUUGUAAAAUUAUAAAGUGAAAGGAGAAGAAAACAAGAAAGAGAAAUUAGAAUGUAGGAAGAGAAUAGAAUAAAAUUUCAUUAGAGGUAUCUCCUUUUUAUAAGGAGUCACAAAGAAAUAUACACCAAUAUGGAUGAUCACCCAUAAAUUUCCAUAAUCCGAUAAAUUCUCAUAUUUUCUAACACUCUCCCUUGGAUGAUAAGAAGAAUAUGGUAACUGCCUUAUUAAAAACCUUUUUUGUAAAACCCAGUGGGAUAAAACCUGGACGAAGGAAAAAAGAGUGCAAUAUAUCCAUAUUAGAAUUCUCCUCUUCAUGUAAAUAUGAUUAUGAUUUCUUCAACAUUUCAAAUGGUAGAUCUCUCAAUCUUCGCAUUCCAAUGUCAUACCUUAACUUUUUCAAUGUGGUCGAAGGUAACGCCUUUGUGAUAGAUCUGCUAGAUUAUUGCAUGACCGAAUUUGUUGAACAUCAAUCUCACAUUUCUUUUAGAGCUCAUGAGUAUAGAAGAAUUUAGGGGAGAGAUGCUUAGUUAUAUCACCUUUUAUGAAUCCUUCUUUAAUUUGUGCAAUACAAGCAACAUUAUCUUCAUGUAACACGGUUGCAUUGCCUCUGAUGAAAGAUAGUCCACAUGUUUCUUGUAUAUGUUGGAUCAUUAGCCAUACACAUUCACGACUUGCUUCAUGAAUUGCAAGAAUUUCUUAAUGAUUUGAAGAUGUGGCUACUAUUGUUUGCUUGGCUGAUUUCCAAGAUAUUGUCAUUCCAUUAUAAGUAAAGACAUAUCUCGUUUGAGAUCGAGCUUUAUAAGGAUCUAAAAGAUGUCCUGCAUUUGCAUACCUAAUCAAUUAUGAUUUUGAUUUUUUUAAAUAAUAUAAACCCAUGUCACUUGUUCCACGAAGGUAUCACAAUAUAUGUUUAAUCUCAUUCCAAUGCUUUUUAGUUGAAGCAGAACUGUAUCUUGCUAGUAAGUUAACAAAGAAUGCUAUGUCUGGUCUUAGUACAAUUUUCAAGAUACAUUAGUACACCGAUUGCACUGAGAUAUGAUACUUCUGGACCAAACAGUUCUUCAUUUUCUUAUUUAGGACAAAAUGGGUCUUUGUUCACUUCAAGUGAACGAACAACCAUAGGGGAAUUGACUAGAUGUGAUUUGUCCAUAUAAAAUCAUUUUAAUACUUUCUCUAUAUAUGUCGAUUGACGGAUUAUAGACCCCCUUAAGAGAGCAAAGACAAUUAGUUUUUUUUAGGGAUUUUUUGAUAGCAUGGGAAGAAUGAUGUCUCGCCACUUGGAGGAGCUGGCGACACCUAGGAUAAGUGAGGGAGGGGGGCCCUUUGUCUACUGAAAGCCAGAUUAGAUGAGGCAGGAAAAGAGAAAGGAGGCCAUGUUGUUGACUGGUGAAUAGGGGACGGGAGGAGUGGCUUGCGAAGGAAGGAAAGAAAAACGGAGAAAAUAAAAAGAAACAGAGUAAGGAUAGGGGAGAGAGUUUCCUGAGAUUCAGGGUUCUGGGAAAUUUGGAGUGCAUGAGGAAGAGUGAGAGAGAACUGAGAAGAAGAGUUUGAAAGCCAUGGAGAAGCUGUAAGCAAGAGGAGCUAUAGGGAGGUGAUUUCGAGCUGAGCAGAGGAGGAGCUUCUCGUUUUGGUCCAGGUAUUUUCUAUGCUAGAUACACAAAGCCUAUGCUACACUGCAGCUACUUGUACAAUGUUUCAUAAGUGUGCCAUGGAUCCUUUGUGUUAUGCCACUAUUGACUUGACAAUAAUAGUUCCAAAGGUUAACAAUGCAGCUAUAUUUACAAUGACCCAAUGAGCUGGAAAAGUCCUUCGGUAAGUGUUUUUUUUAUCUAGAUCUCUUAGGCUUGGUAUAGUUCCUGGCCCAUCUUUGUCACCUGGAUCUUCUCAGCCAUUGGUUUAUACCAUCAGGAAUUCUGUAGUUGCAGUUGGGUUUUCAUGGAAUGUUAAAAGAUCUAGACAUGGGAAGGAAUCAUCCAUUCUUUUCAUAUCUUGCUUAACAGCUCUUAGUGGGGAUAGUGGUGUUGUUGGGGCCCUUUUGAAAAGAUUGCACUUUCACAACAUUGAAAGAAUGGAUAACACAACACUAUAUGCGCAUGGCUACCCUCAUCUCACCACCCAUCAGAAACACCACCCUCUCAUUUCCAUCAUCCCUUCCACGAGCAUGAGGACUGUACAUGCAUGUGGUCACCCUUCCUCUCUCCAUCAGAAACACCACAUUUUCUCUCUCUAAAGCAUCUCUCCAUUUCGCUCCUUCUCUAUCUUCCUCUCUUCAAGUUAUCAAUGGGUACGCGAAUCCCAUCUCACCAGCUCAGCAGUGGCCUUCACAUGUCUAAGCGGUGGGAUCAACACAAGGAGCGGCAGCCGACGACAGGGUCACGUGCAGCGCCGAUUACCGGAGACGACGUGAAGAAAUCUGGUGGCGUCGGGGGGCGGCAGUCAGGGCAGUUGGAGCCUUCAGGUUCGAUGGGGAAGGCGGUGUACGGUUCGUCGAUGACGAGCUUAAAUGAGGAGGUGAAGUUCAGACUCAAGGUGUCAAAGGCGGUAAUGUAGGUUUUUCUGGUGGUAGCGGGUUCAGAUUUGAGCCCAAGCCCAAGUUUGUAAUGGAAAUGGCUGUUUUAGGCUUGCCCAUGGUUCGGAUUUGGGCUUGGGUUUGGAGCCCAGCCCACGCAUUGAUGGGGAGCCUCAUUGUUCCUCAAACUAGCCACCCUCAUGGCCCAAGGCCAUGUUGGGUUAGCCCACUUGGAUGCCCUAACUCUAAAAAAAAAAAUCUCUAAACUCCUAAUCUUCAUAAUCUAUUUAUUAUUUAUUUUUUAUUACACCUUAUUACGUUUUUACCUACCUUCUUUAAUUUGACUUGAGCAUAACUAAGGGAUAAAUCAUUAGGGGUGAACAUCGUUUUUCUGAAACACAAAAUAAUUUAUAUUUUAAUUAUGUCUAAUCACCAUAUAUGAAAAACUUUUGUAUAAAUUAAUCUAUAUUGGACUCAAAGAAGUUUCUACAUUCUAGACUUUAAAUUCCAUUUUCAAAACUUAGGUCUUUAAGUAAUCCUUCAAAAAUCCCAUGUUUGAAUUUAAUCCUUCAAAUACUCGUUUAAAUCUCAUUUUCAUUAAUUAGAAUUAUUAUCAUAUAUUUAUAUAGUUAUUUAAAGUCUAACCCUUUUAAAAAUCCCAUGCCUCAAUUUAAUUUUUCAAUAGUUCGUUUGAAUCUUAUUUUCAUCAAAUAGAAUCAUUGUCUCAUACAUAUAUAGUUAUUUAAAGUCUAACCCUUUUAAAAAUCCCAUGUCUUAAUUUAAUUUCUCCAUAAGUCGUUUAAAUCUCAUUUACGUCAAUUAGAAUUAUUAUCACAUAUUUAUAUAGUUAUUUAAAGUCUAACCCUUUUAAAAAUCCUAUGCCUCAAUUUAAUUUUUCAAUAAGUCGUUUAAAUUUCAUUUACGUCAAUUAGAAUUAUUGUCACAUAUUUAUAUAGUUAUUUAAAGUCUAACCCUUUUAAAAAUUCCAUACCUCAAUUUAAUUUUUCAAUAGUUCGUUUGAAUCUUAUUUUCAUCAAAUAGAAUCAUUAUCUCAUACAUAUAUAGUUAUUUAAAGUCUAACCCUUUUAAAAAUCCCAUGUCUUAAUUUAAUUUCUCCAUAAGUCGUUUAAAUCUCAUUUACGUCAAUUAGAAUUAUUAUCACAUAUUUAUAUAGUUAUUUAAAGUCUAACCAUUUUAAAAAUCUCAUGCCUCAAUUUAAUUUUUCAAUAAGUCGUUUAAAUCUCAUUUACGUCAAUUAGAAUUAUUAUCACAUAUUUAUAUAGUUAUUUAAACUCUAACCCUUUUAAAAAUCCCAUGCCUCAAUUUAAUUUUUCAAUAGUUCGUUUGAAUUUUAUUUUCAUCAAAUAGAAUCAUUAUCUCAUACAUAUAUAGUUAUUUAAAGUCUAACCCUUUUAAAAAUCCCAUGUCUUAAUUUAAUUUCUCCAUAAGUCGUUUAAAUCUCAUUUACGUCAAUUAGAAUUAUUAUCACAUGUUUAUCUAGUUAUUUAAAGUUUAAUCCUUAAAAAAUUCCAUGUUUUAAUUUAAUCUUUCAAAUCCUAAAAACUCUACAAUUCAACUCAAUCUUAUUUUCAUCACUUAGAGUUACAAUCCUGUACUUAUUUAGUUAUUUAAAGUCUAAUCCUUCGAACAUUCCAUAUUUUUUUAAUUUAAUUUUUCAAUUCUAAAAAUUCUACAAUUCGUUUAAAUUUCAUUUUUAUCAAUUAGAAUCAUCAUCCCAUAUUUAUUUAAAGUCCAAUUUUUCAAAAAUAUCGAUUUAACUUUCAACCUUAGAAAUUCUAUUAUUCGCCUAAAUGUUAUUUUCGUUAACUAGAAUUCUUAUCCCCUACCUUUUUAUUCAUUUAAGGUCCAACUCUUCAAAAAUUCAAUGUCCUAACUUAAUUUUCAAACCCCUAAAAAUUCCACUAUUCUUUUUAUUCCAUUUAAAUGUUAUUUUCGUUAAUUAGUAUUAUCAUCCUAUACGAGUUUAGUUAUUUAAAAUCCAAUCCUUCAGAGAUCCAAUGUCCUAAUUUAAUUUUCAAACCCCUAAAAAUUCCACUAUUCUUUUUAUUCGAUUUAAAUGAUUAUUUUCGUUCAUUAGUAUUAAGAUCCUAUAUUAGUUUAUUUAUCCAAAAUCCAAUCCUUUAAAAAGAUCCAAUGUCAUAAUUUAAUUCUCAAUCCUAAAAUUCUACUAUUUGUCUAAAUGUUAUUUUCUUUAAUUAGAAUUAGUAUCUCAUAUUCAUUUACUUAUUUAAAGUCUAAUCCUUCGAAAAUCCCCUGCCUUAACUUAAUUUUUCAAUAAUUCGUUUAAGUCUUAUUUUCAUCAAUUAGAAUUACAAUCCCGUUUUUAUCUAAUUAUUUAAAGUCUAACCCUUCAAAAAUCCGAUGUCCUAACUUAAUUUUCAACCCUAAAAAUCCCACUAUUCUUCUUUAUUCAUUUAAAUGUUAUUUUCCUUAAGCAGAAUUGUCAUCCUAUAUUUAUUUAUUUAUUCAAAGUCCAAUUCUUCAAAAACCUGACUUCCUAAUUUAAUUUUUAAUCUCACGAAUCUCACUAUUCCUUUUCAUCCGUGCAAAUAUCGUUUUUAAUUAACUAGUAACGUUAUUCUAUAUUUAUUUGUUUGUUUCUUUUAAAAAUCUCAAUCUUUCAAAAUUUAAUUUUUAAUCUCACAAAUCUCACUAUUCACUUUCAUCCGUUCCAAUAUCGUUUUGACUAAUUAGUAGCACUGUCCCAUACUUACCUAUUUAUUUCUCUUAAAAAUCUCAAUCAUUAAAGUCUAAUUCUUCAAAAUUCCGAUUUCUAAAUUUAGCUAUCUGAAAUUCCAAUUGUCCUAUCUCCGAACUUAAUUUUCAGUUUCCCAUGCUCUAAUCCCCGUAUUUAUCCCGCUACUUAUUAUUAUCAUUAUCGCUAUUACUUUAUUCAUUAUUUCUAUAAAUUCUGCAUUCGAAUGAUUUUCAAGAUUGCUACCUUUUUUUUUUCUUUUUUUUUUCUUUUUUUUUUAUAUAUAAAUCGACAUUCAUAAUCUCUACUUCUCAAAUAACUUACAAUUCUGAUUUCUUUCAAAAUUUAAUUCCCAAAGCCCCCAAUUUUCGUAACUUAGUUUUCAUUUAAAAUCCCGAACCCUCAAAUCGUUUUCAAGUUUCCAAUCUCGUUCAAAUUUAAUUUCUAAAAAUUCUCAUUCUCACAUUUAGUUUCUGAAAGUCCGACCUUCAAAUGAACUCUAAAAACUCCAAAUUUUAAGCAACCUUCAAGACUCCAAUUUUUCAAAUGAAUUUCAAAAAAACCGAUUUUCUCAAAUAGUUUUAAUUCCAUUCUGGUCUUCAAACGAUUUUCUGCUCCCCUUGAUUCUAAUAAUCAUGAACGAAUUUUUCAUAAUUCCGAAAUAAUGAAGUAUGUGACAUUAAGUCAUGCAAAAAUAAACGGGCUUUGGUGGGGGCCCAACCUGGGUGACUUUAUGAUUGAUUGAUCGAUUGUUUGAUUGGAUUAUCAUACAUAUUGCUCUCUAACAUGCAUGAGAUUAUUUCUUAAUUGUGCACUAACCCACUCUCUUGAUAGCGCAUUGAUCGUUUGAUGCCAAGGUAUGCCCCGCUCCCACUUUGAUCGUUUUUUUUAUUGAGUGUUUUGAUUCUCAUAUGUGCAUGAUCAAUUUGAGUAUCCAUUGAUUUUCCUACUGAUUGUCAUGUCAGCUUCAUUUUAUUAGUAGAGACCCGACUUUAGGGACUUAGAGGGGUGCUAUGGUCUUUACCGUACCUUCUCGAUAAGUAACCUGACCCCCGAGCCCGAUCCGAUUUUUCGUAGAUCACCUUUUCCAAAAUAAGGAGUCGCACUUAGGGUUUUCUUUCUUAUUUUGUUUACCCUUUUAAAAAUAAAACAAAAAUAAGUGGCGACUCCAAGUCAUGUUUUUUUAAUCAAUGAAAAUCACCUUUCAAAUCAAAAUCGAGCUCGCCAUCGAGUGGAAAACGCAUGAGCCGAAAUACGGGGUCCACAAUAUGCCAUUUGAAUAAUGCUCGAUUUGUAGGCCGAGGCAAUAUCUUGUUUUCCCCAAGUCUUUCAUUUCAAAUUCCUUCUUUAAAUAAUUGGCUGCUUUUGUGAGCUCUUUAAGAGUUCCUAUAAGGUUUAAAUCAUCCACAUACACUGCAGUUAUUGUAAGUCCAAAUUUUGAUUUCUUGAUAAAAACACAUGGGCAAAUUGAAUUAUUCACAUAUUUUUCUUUUAACAAAUACUCACUCAAACGAUUAUAGCACAUACAUCCAAAUUGCUUUAAUCUGUACAAAGAUCUUUGUAGUUUGAUUGAGUAUAUGUUUCGAGGUUUUGGAUUAGUUGUUUCAGGCAAUUUGAAUUCUUCAAGGAUUGUCAUAUAUAUGUCAGUAUCUAUAGACCCAUAUAAAUAGGUUGUAACAACAUCCAUAAGACGCAUAUCUAGUCCUUCAGAGACUAUUAAACUUAACAAGUAUCAAAGUGUGAUUACAUCCAUUACAGGGGAAUAAGUUUCCUUGUAGUCUAUACCAAGUCUUCUAUUAAACUUAACAAGUAUCAAAGUGUGAUUACAUCCAUUACAGGGGAAUAAGUUUCCUUGUAGUCUAUACCAAGUCUUUGAGAGAAACCUUGAGCAAUAAGUCGUGAUUUAUAUCUUAUGAUUUCAUCAUUCUCAUUUCAUUUUUUCACAAAGACCCAUUUAUAUCAAACAUGCUUUAUGUUUCCAGGUGUUUGAACUAUAGGUCCAAGUACUUCUCGUUUUGUUAAUGAGUUUAGCUUUGUUUGGAUUGCUUCUUUCCAUUUUGGCCAAUCAUUCAUUUUUUGACAUUCAUUCACAGCUUGUGGUUCUUGAUAUUCAUAAUUUCUCAUGAUGUCCAUAGCCACUUGGAAUGCGAAUAUAUUAUCUAUGAUAAUGUCGCUACAAUCCUUUGUUUCUCUCAUGUGACUCAUUGAGAUCUCUUCAGUUCUAGAUACCGGUAUUUGAUCAAUUUGUGUCUCUUCAGGAGAUAACUGUUUGUCAAGUUGGGUUUCAUCAUUUGACCUUUUCAUAUUUGUGAACUCUUCAAAAGUACUAAGUUUUUCAUAUGUUGUUCAUUUUCUUUUUCUAUGAAUUAAAUCCUUCGAGCCAAUAGGUUUACCACGCUUCAGGCAUGUCUUAGAUUCAUUUGCGAUGGCAUUCUCCAAUUGUCUUUCAAGGACAUCAAUAUGUGAUGGGGUGUUCACAGUUGGCACGUGUGACUUUGUUACUUUCUUUAUAUCUGUGAAAACAUCAGGUAAUUGAUUUUCAAGUCCUUGCAAAUGAACAAUCCUUUGAACUUCUAACUCACAUUGUCUUGUGCAAGGAUUAAGAUAAGACAAGGAGGGUACAUACCAUGUAAUGUCUUACCAUUCUUUUGACUUGUCUUCCCCUAAUGAUGGAAAAACAUUUUCAUCAAAAUGAUAAUCUACAAAGCGGACAGUAAAAACAUCACCUGUGACUAGUUCAAGAUAAUGGAUAAUGGAGGGAGAAUUAAAACCAACAUAUAUACUAAGUAGAUGUUGAGGUCCUAACUUGGAAUGUUGAGGUGGAGCUAUGGGAACAUAGAUAACACAACCAAAAAUAUGAAAAUGUGAAACAUUUGGUUGGGAGCCUAAAACAAGUUGUAAAGGUGAGUAAUCAUGAUUAGAUGUAGGGCGAAUUCGAAUUAAAGUGGCAACAUGAAGAAUAGCAUGCCCCCAAGCAGAUAAGGACAAUUUUGUUUUCAAGAGUAAUGGUCUUGCAAUCAGUUGCAAACGCUUAAUUAUAGAUUCAACUAAUCCAUUCUGAGUAUGGGUAUGAGCAAUAGGAUAUUCAACAUCAAUACCAACCGACAUAUAAUAAUCAAGAAAUGUUUGAGAGAAAAAUUCACUAGCAUUAUCAAGACGAAUUGUCUUAAUAAGAUGAUUAGGGAAUUGUGCCUUGAGUCGAAUUAUUUGAGCAAGUAACCUAGCGAAUGUAGUAUUUCUAGUUGAAAAAAGACAAACAUGAGACCAACGAGUUGAUGCAUCAAUUAAAACCAUAAAAUAACGAAAAGGACCCUAGAUGCUAUGAGCAACUCUGGGUGGUGGUUUACAUAACGACUCUAAAUCCUCAAGUUAGGGCUCUCUAUGCUAUAAGCAGCUUUGGGCAAUGGUUGACAUGAAUGAGUCUAGGUCGUGAGCUCUGGACCUUAGAUGUUAUGAACAACUCAAGGAUGUUAAUGACAUGAAAGACUCCGAAUCACGAGCUUAAGGUUAUAGAUGACAUGAACGACCUGAGGUUUUAAGCUAAGGGCUAAAGGUCGUGGUUAACAUGAACGACUUUAGGUCGUGCGUUCAAGGCUUUAGAUGUUAUAAACAGCUCAAGGCUAUCAAUGACAUGAGCCACUCUGGGUCUUGAGCUUAGGGCUCUAGGUGCUAUGAAUAAUACUAGGUUAUGGUUGAUAUAAACGAUUCUAGGUCGUGAGUUUGGAUGCUAUCAAAAGCUCAGGGCUAUGGAUGACAUGAGUUAAUCAUGUUCAUGAACUCAAGGCACUAGAUGCUAUCGACAUUUCUUGAUUGUGGUUGAGAUGAAUGACUCCGGGUCGUGAGCUGAGGCCUCUUGAUGCUAUGAACAACUCAAGGUUGUUGAUGACAUAAAAUACUAUAGGUUAUGAACUCGGGGCUUUUGAUGCAAUGAACAACUUAGGCCUAUGGAUGACAUGAGCUACUCUAGUUCGUGAACUCAAGAUGCUCUAAAUGCUAUGAACAGCUCGGACAUGUGGAUAACAUGAGCUCAUCUUGGUCAUGAGUUGAGUUUUCUAAAUGCUAUGAACAGGUCAGGAUUGUGGAUGACAUGAAUGACUUAGGGUCGUGAACUAAAAGUUAUAUAUACUACGAACAUCUCAGGGUUGUGGUUUACAUGAACAACUUCGGGUCAUGAGUUUAAGACUUCAGAUGCUAUGAAGAACUCAGGGUUGUUGAUGACAUGUCCUAUUUUGGGUCGUGAGCUCAUGGCUUUAGUUGCUAUGAACUACUCUGGGAUGUGGUUGACAUGAAUGACUCCAAGGGGUAAGCUCAGGGUUCUAGGUGCAAUGAGCAACUCAAGGUUCCUGAUGACAUGAAAGACUUCAUAUCAUGAGCUCAAGACUCUAGAUUAUAUUAGCAACAUAAGGUUGUGGAUGACAUGAACGACUCUAGGUUAGGAACUUAGGGCCGUAGAUGCUAUGAACAGCUCUAGGCUAUGGUUGACAUUAAUGACUCCGGGUAUUAAGCUGAGGGCUUUAGAAGUUAUGAACAGUUCAGGGUUGUCAAUGACAUAAAUCACUCUGGGUCGUGAACUCAAGGCUUUAGAUGCUAUGAAAAACUUUCAGCUGNNNNNNNNNNNNNNNNNNNNNNNNNNNNNNNNNNNNNNNNNNNNNNNNNNNNNNNNNNNNNNNNNNNNNNNNNNNNNNNNNNNNNNNNNNNNNNNNNNNNGCUCUAAAUGCUAUGAAUAACUCUAGGCUAUGGUUGACAUGCAUUACUCAGGGUCGUGAGCUUAAGGCUCUAGAUGCUAUUAAUAUCUUAGGGUUGUAGAUGACAUGAGGUACUCUAAGUCGUGAGCUCAAGGCUCUAGAUGCUAUGAAUAACUUUGGGCUGUGAUUGGCAAGAACGACUCCAAGUUGUGAGCUCAGGGUUCCUGAUGCUAUGAACAACUCGGAGUUGUCGAUGACUUGAAAGACUACAGGUCAUGAGCUAAGGACUGUAGAUACUAUGAACUACUUAAGGUUGUGGUUGGCAUGAACUACUGUAGGUCGUGAGCUCAAGGCUCUAGUUGCUAUAAACAACUAAUGGUUGUGGAUAACAUUAGCUACUGUAGGUCGUGAGCUCAGGGUUCUAGAUGCUAUGAACAAUAUUCAGUUGUGGUUAACAUGAACGAUUUCAUGUCGUGAGCUCAAGACUCUAGAUGCUAUGAACAAGCCAGGGCUAUGGAUGACAUGAACAACUUUGGGUCAUGAUGUAAGGGCUCUAAAUUCAAUGAAUAUCUCUAGGUUGUGGUUGGGAUGAACAAAUCCGGGUCGUGAGCCUAGGGCUCUAUAUACUAAGAACGACUCAGGGCUAUGGAUAACAUGGGCUAUUCUAGAUCGUGAGCUCAGGGCUCUAAAUGCUAUGAACAACAUUGGGAUGUGGUUGACAUCAACGACUUCGAGUUGUGAGCUUAAUGCUCUAAACGAUAUGAACAACUCAGGGUUGUCGAUGACAUGAAAGACUCUGGGUUGUGAGCUUAGGCUCUAGAUUCUACGAAUAGCUUAGGGAUGUUAAGGACAUGUACAACACUAGGUUGUGAGCUUAGGGCCCUAGAUACAAUGAACAACUCUAGGUUGUGGUUGACAUGAAAGACUCCGAUUCAGGAGCUCAAAACUUUAGAUCCUAUGAACAACUUAGGGUUGUGGAUGACUUCAGCCACUCUAGGUCCUAAGCUCAAGGCUCUAGAUGCUAUGAAUAACUCUAGGUUGUGGUUGACAAGAACGAAUCCGGGUCGUGAGCUUAGGUCUUUAGAUGCUAUGAAUAGCUCUGGGUGGUGGUUGACAAGAACAACUCUGAGUCGUGAGCUCAAGGCUCCUAAUGCUAGGAACAAAUCAGGGUUGGCAAUGACAUGAAAGACUAUGGGUCAUGAUCUCAAGGUUCUAGAUACUAUGAACAACUCAGAGUUGUGGUUGACAUGAACAAUCCUAGGUCGUGAGAUUAGAGCACUAGUUGCUAUGAACAGUUGAGGAUUGUGGAUAACAUAAGCUUCUUUGGAUCGUGAGUUUAGGGCUCUAGAUGCUAUGAACAAUGCUAAGUUGUGGUUGACAUGAACGACUUUGUGUCAUGAGCUCCGAGCUUUAGAUGCUAUGAAUAGCUCAGGGAUAUGGAUGACAUGAAACACUCUAGGUCGUGAGGUUAGGGCUCUAGAUGCUAUGAGCAUAUCAGAGUUGUGGUUGACAUGAAUGACUCUAGGUCAUGAGAUUAGGACUAUAGAUGCAAAGAAUGGCUUAAAGGUGUUGAUAACAUGGGCUACUUUGGGUCGUGAGCUUAAGACUCUAAAUACUAUGAACAACGCUAGGUUGUGGUUGACAUGAAUGACUUCGGGUUGUGAGCUUAGGGCUUUAGAUGUUAUUAAGAGCUUAGGACUGUCGAUGAAAGACUACGGGUUGUGAGCUUAGGGCUUUAGAUACUAUGAACAACUCAGGGUUAUGGUUGACAUGAACAACUCUUGGUUGUGAGCUCAAGGUUAUAGAUGUUAUGAAUAGCUCAAGGCUACAAAUAACAUGGGCUACUUUGGGUCAUGAGCUCAAGGCUCUAGAUGUUAUGAAUAGCUUUAGGUUUUAGCUAACAUGAAUGAGUCUAUGUCAUGAGCUCAAGGCCCUAGAUGUUAUGUGUUAGAAAAAUUAGGUUAAUCCAACCUAUGGUAAUCACCCUAAAGGAGGGGAGGGGUGGGGGGGGGGGGGGGGGGAAUAGGGGGAUGGUCCAUUUUUGAAAAUUUAAACCAUGUGAAUGUAAAAGACAAUUAUAUGCCGGUAUAUAAUAAACAAUAUAAAGACCAUUGCCUAUAAAUUUAAAAAGUAGGGAAUAGAGAAUGCCAACCCCAGAUUUUAUAGUGGUUCGGCGCCACCCGACCCACAUCCACUCUCCUCUAGCUUCAAUCCCCAGCUUGAGGUUCCACUAAUUCAAGGCUUCCCAACCAAGCCUUCCAGCCAUACAAUUGGAUUAUGGGUCCCAUUCCCCCCCCUGAAUUUUUGGCUCCCAACCCCCUUUAUACUUCUCCAGAAAUAUCUCACUCUUGAACAACCUUUCAAGUGAUACCCCCCACUUGAGAAACCUCNNNNNNNNNNNNNNNNNNNNNNNNNNNNNNNNNNNNNNNNNNNNNNNNNNNNNNNNNNNNNNNNNNNNNNNNNNNNNNNNNNNNNNNNNNNNNNNNNNNNUGUGAAUGUAAGAGACAAUUAUAUGCAGGUAUAUAAUAAACAAUAUAAAGACAAUUGCAUAUAAAUUAAAAGAGUAGGGAAUAGAGAAUGCAAACACAAGAUUUUAUAGUGGUUCGGCGCAACCUGACCUACAUCCACUCUCCUCUAGCUUCAAUCCCAAGCUUGAGGUUCCACUAAUUCAAGGCUUCCAAACCAAGCCUUCAAGCAAUACAAUUGGAUUAUGGUUCCAAUUCACCCUCUUGAAUUUUUGGCUCCAAGCACCGUUUAUACUUCUCAAGAGAUAUCUCACUCUUGAACAACCUUUCAAGUGAUACCACACACUUGAGAAACUUCCUCUCAAAGAUUUACAAAUAAAUGAUCUCACAAAAUCCUAGUACAAAAACUUUAAGCACAAAUGAUACAAGAAAACUAGAAUUAAAUGGUGCACUAAAGAUAUGCAAGUUUUAAAACAAUGGUGCACUCAAAAACACUCUUCCAAGGCUAUAAUAUAUUCAAGAAAGGUUUGAAAAGGUUAAGCUCAUGAAACAAUAAAGAUUGGUGCCUUUUUAUAGAAGAAAAAAACUAAACUAGUCAUUGGGGGUUUGACCGGUUGACUAACUGUUAGCAUUUAAUGCUUGGAAGGUGACCAUUGGACCUUGGCCGGAUUUCAACUAGUUGAGGUUCAACUUUGACCGGUUGAACAACUGUUCUAAAAGAAAGAGUUUUUUUUCACCCUCGACCGGUUGAGCUGGGGGUCGACCCGGACCUCAACCAGUUGAGCUGAAGGUCAAUCGGUUCCUCAUUUGGUUCAACCGGUUAAGCCGUUUUUUGCUCAAAAACCAGUUUUUUCAACUUAAAACGUUUUUAAAAAGUUGGAAAAACAUUUGACAUAAGGUUUCAAUUGACAACAUGAAAUCAUCCAAUUUUAAAAAUAUUUAAAACAAAAUAACUCUUGGAUUAUUUCAGUGCAUAAGUAAAGAAUGUAAUGCAUGAAAAUCCUAGUGCACCAACAACCUUACAAAGAAAUCUUAUGAAGCUUGGGUCUUGAAAAACACUUCUCUUUGAGGUGGUUUUCUUCUUCAUGAUUUCUCUUUGACUUGAUUUGUCUUUGUGAUUGCCACUUUGGAAAUCAUCUUGCCUAAUCACACUUGAAAUAUAAUCAUUAGUUUUAAACUUUAUUUUGUUAUCAUCAAAACCAAGAUUAACCAAACCUUGGUUUCACACUAUGAACAACUCUGGGUUGUGGUUGAUAUGAACGACUCUGGGUCUUCAGGUCAAGGCUUUAGAUGUUAUGAACAGCUCUGGGCUAUGGUUGACAUGAACGACUCCGAGUUGUGAGCUCUAGACUUUAUAUGCUAUGAACAACCAAGGUUGUUGAUGACAUGAGCUACUCUUGUUCGUGAGCUUAGGGUACUAGAUGCUAUCAAUAGCUCUUGGCCAUGCUUGACAUGAAUGACUUCAGGUCAUGAGCGGAGGGCUCUUGAUGCUAUAAAUAGCUCAGGGUCGUCGAUGACAUAAAAUACUAUAGGUCAUGAGCUCAAGGCUCUUGAUGUUAUAAACAACUUAGAAUUGUGAAUGACAUGAGCUACUCUAGUUUGUGAGCUUAGAGCUCUAGAUGUUAUGAACAACUCAGCGUUGUGGAUGACAUGAGCUCCUCUGGGUCGAGAGCUUAGGGCUCUAAAUGCUAUGAAAAUAAUAAAAUGUGAAAUAAACUAUAAAAAAUGAAUAAUAAAUAAUGUGUUUAAAGAUGAUAACAAAAUAAACCUAUUUGCAAAGAACUAAAUAAGAACAUAACAUUUAAUCAUUACAAACAUUUCCAUCACCAAUUAGAUGGUCAAUUUCCCAUUAGGAUUCUCAAAGAAAUCUGAAACAUCUAAAUGGGUUAGAUCUAUUGGGUCAUCACUAUCAAUGAAGUUCAUUUCAACUUUCUUUCCUUUUGCUUUUAUUGAGGCUUGAUAAAGGUCAACAAAAUGUUUUGGAGUACGAAAAGUAUGUGACCAAUGUCAUUUCAUGCCACAUCUAUGACACUUAUUCUCACGAGCAUGUUUACUUUGUGGUUCUAUCCCCUUUUCAGGUUGUGCCUUUGAAUUAUUCCACUUCUGGUGGUUUGAGUUGUUAUUUUUACUUUGAGAACCACUACGAUGAGAAGAAUUGUGUUUAUCGCGACCUUGACAGCAACCACGUCCUUGACCUCGACCAUAUCCACGUCAUUGUCCAUGUCUAAGGGUUUGAAUAGAUGUGGCAUUGACUUCAAGCAAUGACAUAGACCUAAUAGGACAAGAUUGAUGGUUUUUCAAUAAUAGCUCAUUAUUUUGUUCAGCCACAAGAAGACAUGAGAUCAAUUCUGAAUAUUUAGUGAAACGACGUUCUCAAUAUUGUUGCUGUAAGAGCACAUUCGAGGCAUGAAAAGUCAUGAAUUUUUUUCAAGCAUAUAUUUUUCAGUGACCUUUUCUCCACACAAUUUUAAUUGUGAGCUAAUUUUGAAUAAGACCAAGUUGUAGUCACUAACAGACUUGAAAUCUUGUAAUCUCAAGUGCAUCCAAUCAUAGCGUGCUUUUGGAAGGAUUACGGUCUUUUGGUGGUCAUAUCAUUCCCUUAGAUUAUUCCAAAGGAUGAAAGGAUCUUUAACUGUAAGGUAUUCACCUUUUAAUCCUUCAUCAAUGUGAAGGUGAAGGAAUAUCAAAGCUCUAGCGCGAUCUUGCAAGGAUGCGUCAUUUAGUUCUUUAAUGGUAUUUCCAAGAUUCAUCGCAUCUAGAUGAAUUUCAGCAUCCAGAACCCAAGAUAAGUAGUUUUUGCUCGAAAUAUCGAGUGCAACAAAUUUAAGCUUUGCAAGGUUUGACAUUAUUUGAAAGCUAUAUAUAAUAUUAAUCAGAGAAAUAUUUCAAUUAUUAUAAUAAACUAUUAAUAAAAUGCUUUAACAAUAUUUCAAGUAAACGAUAUCUAAAAAUAUUAUGACCUAAAAUUUAUCAAUUAUAAAUAUGGUAAAAAUGUAUGAAUAUGAAAUAAGAAUUAAAAUUUAAUAUAUAUAUAUAUAUAUAUAUAUAUAUAUAUAUAUAUAUAUUUCUUUUUCAUAGCUUCGGGCUAUGAUUAUUUUAUCAUAACAAAAAUGUGCAAAGUAAUAGAUAGCUUCAAGCUAUGAAUUAUUUUAUGUAAAUUUGUGCAUAAUUUCGGGUUGUGAUAUUUCAUUAUGUCAAUUUGUACAUAGCUUCAGGCUAUGAACAUUUAUUUAUUUAUUUAUUUUAUAGCUUUUGACUAUAUAAUAUUGUUUGGUAUAACAUCCAGUUAUACCGUAUAAUUAAAAAUAAAUAAUUAGUGAUCAUAUAUAUAACUUCUGAUCAUGUAUAUGUAAUUCUGUAAUUUUUCCCCAUAACUUCUAGUUAUAGGAAUUGUACAUAUUUUUCAUAAUUUCUGGUUAUGAAUUUACCCUAUGAUUUAUAAUUUACCCCAUAACUUAUGGUUAUAGGGAUUAUACAUAUUUAUGUAUUCAAAUAAAAUAAAUGAAAAUAGAAUUCAAAGGGUAAUAAAAUAGAAAAUCGUGAUAUAAGUUUAUCACAUACAUUUUUGUGAGAAAUAAGAGAGAAAAGUCUUUCUAUUUCUCUGAAAAGGAGAACGUCUUUUCUAUUUCUCUGAAUAGAGAAAAAUCUUUCUAUUUCUUUUGUAGAGACUAAUUGUGCUGAUAACAUGUUGUAAAAUUAUAAAGUGAAAUGAGAAGAAAACAAGAAAGAGAAAUUAGAAUGUAGGAAGAGAAUAUAAUAGAAUUUCAUUAGAAGUAUCUCCCAUUUAUAGGGAGUCAUAAAGAGAUAUACAUCAGUAUGGAUGAUCAUCCACAAUUUCCCAUUAUCUGAUAAAUUCUCAUAUUUUCUAACAUAUAUAUAUAUAUAUAUAUAUAUAUAUAUAUAUUUAAAAACUUUUUAUAAAAUAAAAAUAAAUAUUUAUCAAAUAAAAUAAUUUAAAUUUCAUUUAAUUUAAACUAUUAUUAAAAAGAUAAAACCAUUAUAUCUUAAUAAUUUGUUUAUAUAUACUGUAAUUAAAUACAAAAAAAUAACUAUUUAUAAAUAAAAUUAUAAGUAUUUUUUUAAAAAAAAUUUAUAUAUAUUAUAUAUUUCAAGUUUUCCAAUAAAAAUUAUUUUAAUAGGCAUAUUAUUGCUUCUCUUAUAAUUUUUUUAGGUUUUCUUUGAUGUUCUCUUGAAUUUUGAUCAAUUUUUAUUUUAUCAAUAUUUUUUAUUUUUUGAUAUAUCUAUAAAACCUAAUGAUAUAUCUAUAAAAUCUAAUGAUGGAAAUAUUCAUAUAAAUGGAUAUUUUCUUUCUGAUUUUUGGGGUGAAUUCUAUUAUAAUAAAGAUGGGUGUGUAAGUGUUUUAUGGGAAGGAGCCAUAUGUCAAUAACAGGGACGCUUUACUCUUAAGCAUCAUUAUUAUAAUGACCUAUAUUUAUAAUAUAUAUAUAUAUAUAUAUAUAUAUGUAAUAUUAAAUUUAGUUUUUAAAUGAAGAUUAAAAACUUGACUAGUGGAUUGAUCAGUUACUUAAAAGUAAAAUUGUGGCAAAUGGUUAAUGAGGUAAUUAACAUAUUAAACUAGUUGAUUGAUCAAAUAGAGAUUGCACCUAAGAGUUCCUUGCAAUAUCGAUUUUUCAAUUCGAUUCACCUUUGAUCCUAGUAUUUAGGAUGUCUGAAAUAUCAAGGCCAUCAUUAUUCAUGAAUUUUUUUUGUUUUUAAAAUUUAAAUUUUAAUAAAAUUAAAUAUGAUUAUGAAUAAGAAGUUCUAUUGAGUUAAUUUGAGUGAUUCAAGCCUUUAAUAAUGCAUAAAUCAUAGUGUUUAUGUGUUAUUAAAGUAUAUAUUUUUUACUCUAAUAAGUCUCGUAAUCU
rnacentral:lncRNA from 1 species